GCGGUUAUGGCUCAAUGGUAGAGCACUUGCCUGGAAUGUGUGAGGCACUGGGUUCUAUCCCCAGCACCACA
rnacentral:tRNA from 1 species